CCUGCAACAGCGGCUGUCUCUGCCGCAGAAUGGCAUGGGGCAAUCCAGUCUUCACAAGCAUGGCAAGAUCAGCUAGUUUGAAUCAAUGCAGAAAGUGCGUGGGGGCUUGUACUAAAGAGAGAACACAGCUCACACUGUUCUGGUGCUGCUGUGAGGUGGGAGCCCCGCGCCCAGCUGAGAGGACAGAUGGUGUGGCAGUGCUCCAGACUGCCUGGGUUGAAGCCAGCAAAUGCAGUGAGCCAUGGCCCCACAGGAUAAGGGCAAGCUCUUGUCCUCCCAUCCUCUCCUCCAGCAUUGUAGUGCAGCAAAGUGGCUGCUGCUCCUGCUGCUUCACUUAAUGCCAAUGAGGAGAGUCAGUAAGGAGACCACUGCCCGAAAUGCUGCAUGGUUUGAAGGAAGAAGACUGAGCCACCCAUGUCAUGUUCAAACACAGACCCUCUGACAAGACACCUGGAGCAUCUCAUUGGGCCAGUACUGCAGGUACACAGCCAGGGAUUCUGGCAGCUCCACACCUCUGCUUACACUGUGUACCUCACACUGUGCUCAUCCACACCACCAGCACCUGUACUGCUGCCAAACAGGGCACAGGACACUUCCCAUGGUUUUUGCAGAUGCUAUGCAGCACCCAGCAGAUAAUUUUCAUG